rnacentral:rRNA from 1 species
CUAACGCUGGUGGCGUGUCUUAGUCAUGCAAGUCGCACGAGAAAGCACCCUUCGGGGUGUUAGUACAGUGGCGAACGGGUGAGUAACACGUGGGCAACCUACCUUCGAGUGGGGAAUAACCCUUCCAACGAGGGGCUAAUACCGCAUAACACGGCAGCGUCGCAUGGCGCAGUCGUCAAAGGUGGCCUCUGCUUGCAAGCUGCCGCUUGAAGAUGGGCCCGCGCUCCAUUAGCUAGUUGGUGAGGUAACGGCUCACCAAGGCUACGAUGGAUAGCCGGCCUGAGAGGGUGAUCGGCCACACUGGAACUGGGAUAAGGUCCAGUCCCCUACGGGGGCCAGCAGUCUAGAAAUUUGCCCAAUGGACGAAAGUCUGAGGCAGCGACGCCACGUGGAGGAUGAAGCCUUUCGGGGUGUAAACUCCUGUCAGGGGGGAAGAACGUGGGCCGAUGAAUAGUCGGUUCAUCUGACGGUACCUCCAGAGGAAGCUCCGGCUAACUUC